CGUAGGGGCAAGCGUUAUCCGGAAUUAUUGGGGCGUAAAGGGUGCGUAGGCGGGUUAUCAAGUCUUUGGUUAAAAUGCGGUGCUCAACGCCGUAGUGCCAAAGAAACUGAUAGUCUAGAGUAUGGUAGAAGUGAGUGGAACUCCAUGUGUAGCGGUAAAAUGCGUAAAUAUAUGGAAGAACACCAGUGGCGAAGGCGGCUCACUAGGCCAAUACUGACGCUGAGACACGAAAGCGUGGGGAGCAAACAGGAUU
rnacentral:rRNA from 1 species